CGCCGGCGAAAAAUACAGACUAAAAAUUCAGGGGCUGCAGGGACCACAUGCUUCAGGCAACCUCCUGAACAAGUCACCGAGGGGGACAGCACACACUGCCC